UCAUUUUUUUUACUUCAUUAGGGCUUUUAUGAGGUGUGGUUGACUGAGAGAGGAGAAAUAGCCACUCACUGUUCACAGGAAAACGACUUAAGCGUUCGUACCUCAAACUGCGGAUUGACAUUGCAACCACGUGUGUACCGGAUGUUAGAUGCUGAUCAGGAAACAGACAGAGUAAACAUUGGUGUGCAAACGUCAAGCAACACUCCUACGCAGGGAGAUGAUCUUCUCCCAGAGUGCCACUUGUUCAUGGCACAUUCACUUCCAGCUCCAGAAAGUCUGUAGAUCUGUCGAAUCGUGAGUUUUCGCGCCUACUAGAGGCUCAGAAACAUUCAGCCGUUGACUUCUCUAAAGGCUGCAUAAUGCAGAUUUGUAAGAUGUAAUUAGCCAAGUAAUCAAUAGACCUAAUUGAGCUAUCGAAGUGGUUUUGGACUGAGUAUUUCAAGAAAUCCGGAUUAGCUUCAAUAACCUCACGAAUGGUUUUAAACAAACUCGCACCACUCUCUCUUAGGUAAUCAGAAAUAAAACGUAAGCCAAUCCUAACGCGACAACCUUUACGGUCACUGGUUGUUUCAACCUCGUUCCCAGCCUCUCUCGUCUUCCCGUCCCCUGGAGCAAGAGAGGGGUGGGAAGAUGAGAGACCCUGGGAUGGGGUUGUGGUUGUUUACAUGGUUCUGGUUCACUGACUCUUUAUAUUUUCAUUAAUAUAUUAUUUCUGUUAUACAUGUUUACUCUGUAUAUCAUUUUACUAAAUAAAACCAAAACAAACCUGGUAUAAAAUAGCUGAAGAUUCAGUCUGUAACAUUAACAAGGGGCGCCCAGUGUUUGCGGUAGAACGUUUUAACAAAUAAAACAUUUUCAUAGACAGCC